GACGUAGGGCGCGAGCGUUGUCCGGAUUUAUUGGGCGUAAAGAGCUCGUAGGCGGCUUGUCGCGUCGUUCGUGAAAACCCACAGCUCAACUGUGGGCUUGCGGUCGAUACGGGCAGGCUAGAGUUCGGUAGGGGAGACUGGAAUUCCUGGUGUAGCGGUGAAAUGCGCAGAUAUCAGGAGGAACACCAAUAGCGAAGGCAGCUCGCUGGGACGUUACUGACACUGAGGCGCGAAAGCGUGGGGAGCGAACAGG
rnacentral:rRNA from 1 species